GAUGAAGAACGUAGCGAAAUGCGAUAAGUAAUGUGAAUUGCAGAAUUCAGUGAAUCAUCGAAUCUUUGAACGCACAUUGCGCCCCUUGGUAUUCCGAGGGGCAUGCCUGUUCGAGCGUCAUUAUAACCCCUCAAGCUCAGCUUGGUGUUGGGGCCUGCUGCACUGGCAGCCCUUAAAAUCAGUGGCGGCGCCAUCUGGCUCUAAGCGUAGUAGUUCUUCUCGCUAUGGAGUCCUGGUGGAUGCUUGCCAUCAACCCCCAAUUUUUCUAUGGUUGACCUCGGAUCAGGUAGGGAUACCCGCUGAACUUAAGCAUAUCAAUAAGCGGAGGA
rnacentral:misc_RNA from 1 species